rnacentral:rRNA from 1 species
GAUGAACGCUGACAGCAUGCUUAACACAUGCAAGUCUUUCGCGAAGCUGUGCUUGCUCUGCCUAGCCAGGGCGGCCGGGUGAGUAACGCGUCAGGAACUUGCCCUCCAGUCAGGGAUAACAGCCUGAAACGACUGAUACGACCUGGUAAAGUCAGCCGGACCCAUGUCCAGCCUGAUGAAAAGAGAGGCUGCAGGAGAGCCUUGGGUCCUAUUAUCUUGUUGGUGGUGUAAGGGCACACAACGGCGAUGUUAGGUAGCCGGCGUGAGGGGGUGGUCGGCCACAGGGGGAGUGAGAUACGGCCGUUACUCCUGGGGGGGGGAGCAGUGGGGAAUAGUGGACAGGGGGGGCAACCCUGAUCCAGCAAUUCUGUGUGGACGAUGAAGGUUUGCGGAGUGUAAAGUGUUUGCAGGAGGGAAGAAAAAAAUGACGGUACCGGGAGAAGAAGCGACGGCUAAAUACGUG